UACGGGGGGGGCAAGCGUUGUUCGGAAUUACUGGGCGUAAAGGGCUCGUAGGCGGCCAACUAAGUCAGACGUGAAAUCCCUCGGCUUAACCGGGGAACUGCGUCUGAUACUGGAUGGCUUGAGUCCGGGAGAGGGAUGCGGAAUUCCAGGUGUAGCGGUGAAAUGCGUAGAUAUCUGGAGGAACACCGGUGGCGAAGGCGGCAUCCUGGACCGGCAUUGACGCUGAGGCGCGAAAGCUAGGGGAGCAAACGGG
rnacentral:rRNA from 1 species